rnacentral:piRNA from 1 species
UGUUCCUAGAUGAGUCAACCGAUGGA